GGCGGCCUAGUAUAGUGGUUAGUACAUCAGAUUCUGAUGAACACAUAUUCUGAGGAGCCCGGUUCGAUUCCGGGGGUUGCCU